GAUGAACGCUGGCGGCGUGCCUAACACAUGCAAGUCGAGCGUGAACCCUGCGAAUGAAACUUCGGUCGAUUUUGCAGGGGGAAAGCGGCGGACGGGUGAGUAACGCGUAGGUAACCUGCCCCAUACUGAGGGAUAGCCUCGGGAAACCGGGAUUAAUACCUCAUAACACCGUAUAUUCGCAUGGAUGUGCGGUCAAAGAUUUAUCGGUAUGGGAUGGGCCUGCGUCUGAUUAGCUGGUUGGUGGGGUAACGGCCUACCAAGGCGACGAUCAGUAGCCGACCUGAGAGGGUGAUCGGCCACAUUGGAACUGAGACACGGUCCAAACUCCUACGGGAGGCAGCAGUGGGGAAUAUUGCACAAUGGGCGAAAGCCCGAUGCAGCAACGCCGCGUGAGCGAAGAAGGCCUUUGGGUCGUAAAGCUCUGUCGGGUAGGAAGAUAAUGACGGUACUACCCCGAGGAAGCCCCGGCUAACUACGUG
rnacentral:rRNA from 1 species